GGCUACUGGGUGUAAAAGAUAAAUCUUAUUCUAUCUGUUCUUAAUGAGUUUUAGAUAAUUUUAGUUGUAUUUCUUUGUAAUUUUGUGUUGUACAAAGAUUAAUUUAACAUUUUCUCUGGAAGUAUUAAUUUAGAAAGAUAAUAUGCUUCAUUGGUGUUGUGUUUUGAAGUGUGAAAUGCAAAGUAAUUGUGAUAAAGUCAAGAUAAAGUUCACUUUUAAACUGAACUAAAUAAGGUAUCUGAGAGACAACAAUGGUUAAAUGCAAUACAAUGUACAGGUUUUACUAGCGAAAUGAAAAUUUUCCUGUCCUGUCUGCUGUAAUCAUUUUAUAUCUGGAAAACCAGCCGACUUAAUCGAUAAUAACAAUCUCCAGAUUGGGUUCCUUCAAUAAAUAUGGGCUAUAAACACAAUGAAAUAAGUUCCCCAAAAUCUAAAAUGGAGUGCUAUCAAA
rnacentral:lncRNA from 1 species